CCUACGGGGGACAGCAGUGAGGAAUAUUGGUCAAUAGACGCAAGUCUGAACCAGCCAUGCCGCGUGCAGGAUGACGGCUCUAUGAGUUGUAAACUGCUUUUGUACGAGGGUAAACCCCGAUACGUGUAUCGGGUUGAAAGUAUCGUACGAAUAAGGAUCGGCUAACUCCGUGCCAGCAGCCGCGGUAAUACGGAGGAUCCGAGCGUUAUCCGGAUUUAUUGGGUUUAAAGGGUGCGUAGGCGGUUUGAUAAGUUAGAGGUGAAAUGUCGGGGCUCAACCCCGAAACUGCCUCUAAUACUGUUAGACUAGAGAAUAGUUGCGGUAGGCGGAAUGUAUGGUGUAGCGGUGAAAUGCUUAGAGAUCAUACAGAACACCGAUUGCGAAGGCAGCUUACCAAACUAUAUCUGACGUUGAGGCACGAAAGCGUGGGUAGCAAACAGGAUUAGAUACCCCAGUAGUC
rnacentral:rRNA from 1 species